CCAGCUUUCCUUCUGCCUUAGUCACAGCCCCAGUUAACAACUGCAUACAAGGGAGUCUGAGCAUCACCCCAGAUCUGUACACAUGAAAGAAAAAAAGAAAAGCAGGAAGGAGAACCCAUACUACCUCCAUAGUUCUAAAUCACAACAAGACAUUUCUUGGCACAGCGUUUGAGCCAAGGGCCUCACCAUAGAUCUGGAACAGGAGGAGGAUGUAUCCACAAACCCUUCAGUUUAAAAUGAUCAUAGAAGGA
rnacentral:lncRNA from 1 species